GGUAUUAUCUUACUUAUUGAUGUAUAUUGUUUUAUUCAGUCUUAUUCUGUUGGAUUUGGAUGUUCCUAUUUAAUCUAAACAAUUAGUUGAUAAAUUAUAUGAAUUGGUAUUAUCUGGAAGUUGAUGAUUGAAAGAAAUCUAUUCCUCCAUUUUCUUAUUUUGUAUUAUGAAUUUGAGGUAAAACAUUUUACCUUCGCCCAUAUAAUACAAUAAAUGAAUUAAUUGCAUUGCAAUUCUUAGCAUUUAUGUAUUAGCCUUCUGGGUACUUUACUGGCAGUAUAUUGGAUAAAUGAUAUCCCAUAGUGGGUUACACUCAUAACCCCUAGCUCACUUUGUACUAUAUAUAUAUAUAUAUAUAUAUAUAUAUAUGUAUAUCUAUGUACAUGUAUAUAUACAAAUCCACUCACAAGGCUUUGGUCGGCCCAAGGCUAUAGUAGAAGACAUUUGCCCAAGGUGCCACGCAGUGGGACUGAACCCAGAACCAUGUGGUUGGUAAGCAAUCUACUUACCACACAGCCACUCCCAUACCAUCUGAUAAUUAUAAACAAAUUGUUUGUGAAGGUUGUUCCACAAGAAAGUGCAGAGCUGUCUUUCUCAGACCAUGAGAGACUCCCAUUAUAUUAUUGCUUUUCUCUAUGUACUUUAUUUUAGCAGUCUGUAAUUUAGUAUAUUAAUUCAGUUUAGUUGAGUUUUCUUGUUUUUCAUUAUUCUCUUUUCAUUUUUUUGCUGUUGUUAUUAUUCUGUCUGUGAUUUUUUAAAUCUAUUUUUCCUUUUUUUUUUCUUUUAUUUGUUUCAGUUAUUAGACUGUGGCCAUGCUGGGGCACUGCCUUAGAGAAUUUUCAAUCCAAUGAAUUGACCACAGUGCUUAUUCUUUUUAAAGCUCAGUACUUAUACUAUUGGUCUCUUUUACCAAACUGCUAAGUUAUGGGGAUGUAAACACACCAACACUGUUAGUCAUGCAGAAGUGGGGGACAAACACAGACAGACAAAGACACAAAUACACACACACACAUACACACACACACACACACACACACACACACACACACACAUACAAACACACAUGCACGCACAGAUUCACACAUGCAUGUAAGCAUAACUAUGCAUGCACACCUGCACACACAUGCAUGCAUACACACACAUAUGCAUGCAUAAACAUGUGCGCACACACACACACAUACACACACACACACACUUGCGCAUACACGCACAUACACGCACACAUUCACAAUGAGUUUCUUCCAGUUUCUGUCUCCCAAAUCCACUCACAAGGCUCUGUUUGUCCUGAGGCUAUUGUAAAAGACACUUGCCCAAGAUGUCACACAGUGGUACUGAACCCAGAACCAUGUGGUUGGUAAGCAAGCUUCUUACCACACAGCCACUCCUGCACCUCUCAAAAAUUUUCAUAUGAAAUUACUCCCUGAUUUUCUUUUCAUUAACUAGACCUUAAUGAAGUGUCAUAACGAUGCAUUAAAAUACUUUUGAUAUUUUUAUUUCUGUUGUGUGUAUAUUAUUGUGUGCAUAUAAAAUGCAUGUAUAUAAAAUGAAUAUAACCUAUGAAAUGAAAUAUUUAAAGGCAUAGGUGUAGCUGUGUGGCAAGAAGCUUGCUUCCCAAUCACAUGAUUCCAGGUUCAGUCUCACAGCAUGGCACCUUGGGCAAGUGUCUUGUACUAUAGCCUUGGGCCGACCAAAGCCUUGUGAGUGGAUUUGGUGAUGGAAACUGAAAGAAGCCCAUCAUACAUAUAUGUGUGAGUGGGGGGGAGAGUAUUUGAGUCUGUGUUUGUCCCCCACUAUUGCUUGACAACCGGUGUUGGUUUGUUUAUGUCCCCAUAACUUAGCAGUUCAGCAAAAUAUACUGAUAAAAUAAGUACUAGGCUUAAAAAAGAAAAAAGUACUGGGAUUGAUUCAUUUGACUAAAGGUUGUUUAAGGCGAUGCCCCAGCAUGGCUACCAUCUAAUGACUGAAACAGAUACUACAUAAAAGAUAAAUUAAGACUAUUGUGUGUAUAUGAUGUGUAUAAAAUGAAUAUAACCGAUUAAAUAGAUGCAGGAGUGGCUAUGUAGUAAGUAGCUUGCUUACGAACCACAUGGUUCCAGGUUCAGUCCCACUGCGUGGCACCUUGGGCAAGUGUCUUCUACUAUAACCUCAAGCCAACCAAAGCCUAGUGAGUGGAUUGGAUUUGGAAGAUAGAAACUGAUAGAAGUCCAUCAUACGUAUGUAUGUAUGUAUGUAUGUAUGUAUGUAUGUAUGUAUGUAUGUAUGUAUGCAUGCAUGCAUGCAUGCAUGCAUGUAUGUAUGUGUGUGUAUGUUUGUGUGUGUGUUUGUCCCCUACUAUCGCUUGACAACCAAUGGUUGGUGUGUUUAUAUUCACAUUACACACACACACACACAUACAUACAUAUACGACAGGCUUCUUUCGUUUCCAUCUACCAAAUCCACUCACAAGGCUUUGGCCUGGCCGUGGCUAUAGUAGAAGAGACUUUCCCAAGGGCCCACAUAGUGGAACUGAACCCGGAACCAUAUGGUUGGGAAGCAAGCUUCUUACCACACAGCCACACUGCGCCUUGAUGAUGAUGAUGAUGACGACGACGAUGACAUAUAUAUAUUUAUAUAUAUGUAUAUCAUAUAUACAUCACAUAUCUAAUAUAUAUAUAGGUAAAUUAAAAAUUGAAAAUAACAAAAGUCAAAAGGAUGUACACAUGGAAUGUAUUAGCUUGAUGAUCAAUAUAUUUCUUUACUGCCCACAAAGGGCUAAACAUAGCGGGGACAAACAAGGACAGACAAAUGGAUUAAGUUGAUUACAUCGAUCCCAGUGCGAAACUGGUACUUAAUUUAUCAACCCCAAAAGGAUGAAAGGCAAAGUCGACCUCGGUGGAAUUUGAACUCAGAACGUAACGACAGACGAAAUACGGCUACGCAUUUCGCCCGGCAUGCUAACGUUUCUGCCAGCUUGCCGCCUCAAUGAUCAAUAUAGGAUGGAUAAAAGAGUUGGUGUAUACUGUUUCGAGUAUGGCUCAUUUUCACUCCCAAGCCGUCGAUGAAGCUCAAAGGUACAACAGCAGACACUUGUCCAAUGUGUCUGUUAUGGGAGAAUCUUAAACACCUCCACAUAGCUGAAGGUGGAUUAACAAAUUAUGAUAUAUAAGAACUGAGUGAAUUGUCAGUGGGGUAGUUGAUGGUGUUAGUUCGACCCUGUUGGUUUACCAUGUUACUUUGACGUGUGUUGGUUUAACAAUUGGUUGCUGAACAGUGAGUGAAGGCACAUGGCGUAGUGGUUAGGGUGUCAGCUUCAUGAUUGUAAGAUUGUGGUUUCAAUAUCUGGACCAGGCGACGCGUUGUGUCCUUGAGCAAAACACUUCAUUUCAGGUUGCUCCAGUCCACUCAGCUGGCAAAAAUGAGUAAUGCUGCGAUGGACUGGCGUCCCAUCCAGCUGGGGAACACAUAUGCCAUAGAAACUGGGAAACCGGGCCCGUGAGCCUGGUUAGGGUUUAAAAGGGCGCAAAAAAAAAGUUGAACAGUGAAUACUGAGUAUCAUACCUACGUUUUAGUAGCAUGGACUGCAUUCUGCUGUGUUAAACAUAUAUUUCUGUGAUAGGUUAUUUUUAGAUAACCGCACGCAUAUACCUACGUCGUGUCUUACAGUGGAAAAGUACCCAGAACUAUGUCACAGCAAAGCCAAGUUCUUAGUUAUAUAGUUUUGCCUGCUGAGAGUCUCCAACCUUUUCCUAAAUAAUCAAGAGAAAACUGCAGCAAAGAUAACCAAGGUGGACUUGUGCAUACUGGUUUGGAUUUAUUAAGGGAGAGAACACUGAAAUGGAUUUGCAGAAUAUGGACUUAGAGUGCUUUUUGUUAUUGCUUCUGUUUGUCUAGUUCAGUUAAAAGCGAUAGUUAUUUCAACAUGGUGUAUCAUUCAAGAAGGUGAUCGCUGUAUCUAUGAAUUUACAAGUUGGAAGAUGCAGGCUUCUUAUUGUAGAGGUUAAGUUACGAUUCUGAACACUAACUGUAUGCAUAUAGCCCUACAGCCUAGUUCAAGGGAGAUAACUAUUGUUUACCACGGCUGACUUUUUAUUCGCUUUUAUUUCUUUAUUUCUUUAACAGUAGGAAAAUAAAAUGUUUAUGCAGUGAUACAAUUUGACAAUUUAUAAAUCAAUUAACAAUUAGUGAUUAGAUCAGUGUUAUGUAUAAACGGGUAAUAGGAUCUAUUGAUCAUUUCCCCCAAAAUUUAGUACCUAUUCUUUAGUUAAGUAAACUGAAGCAAUCAUUAUGUUGCCAUAUAGAGUUCUUCAGAAACGUAAUAAAAAAAAGUUUAAAUAAGAUUUAAACUCACUUUUCAUGAUUUAUCAUUAUCAACAUCAGUAUCAUCAAUUUUAUCUUUAUUUUUUUCCAUCUUAAAUGGACAGGUCUUCUAUAUACUAGUUUAUCAGGAGUGGCUGUGUGGUAAGUAGCUUGCUUACCAACCACAUGGUUCCGGGUUCAGUCCCACUGUGUGGCACCUUGGGCAAGUGUCUUCUACUAUAGCCUCAGGCCGACCAAAGCCUUGUGAGUGGAUUUGGUUGACGGAAACUGAAAGAAGCCCGUCGUAUAUAUGUAUAUAUAUGUAUAUGUGUGUGAGCAUGUAUGUUUGUGUUUGUCCCCCUAGCAUUGCUUGACAACCGAUGCUGGUAUGUUUACGUCCCCAUCACUUAGCGGUUCGGCAAAAGAGACCGAUAGAAUAAGUACUGGGCUUACAAAGAAUAAGUCCCGGGUUCGAGUUGCUUGAUUAAAGGCGGUGCUCCAGCAUGGCCGCAGUCAAAUGACUGAAACAAGUAAAAGAGUAAAGAGUAUCACAAUCCUUUAUCAUCUAUUUUAUAAGAUUUAACCUCUUGAGAUAAGCUUUAACUACUUCUUCCCAUGUUUUAUUUGGCCUUGUUUUUCUGGAUAUUCAUUCAAUUUUUAUUGAUAUCAGAUUUUGACCCUAGGCCAGUGUCAUACUACAUAUGAAGUCCUUAUCUCUCAACCUGUCUGUGAUUUCACUACAUUUCUUGUACCCCCUAUUAUUUACACAGUACAGUGUUUCUAUGAACUCCUUUUUGGCACAAUAAACAUGGCUACUCCCCAAAUGGCAGUAGAAUCCAAUUUUCUCUCUUACAAAUUAAAACCUGACUUUGCUAGACUUUUUUUCUAUGGAGGUGGGGUGUGUUUUGAUUCUAGACUUUACUUCCAUGUUUGGAAUUUCAUCUUUAAUUCUUCAAUAAAUUUAGGUAUGUCAUUAGUAUACAAGAAUUCCCAUGAGAAACCAGACUUAAAUAUUUCAGUUACAGAUCAAAAGAACUAUAAUAAGCAGGAAAAGAUUGAGAACUGACCCCUGAUGGAUCUCUAUCUACACCCUUAAUUCUUGGCUGAACUCAUUCAUUGCUAACUCUCAUUUUGCUGACAGAAUCCCUAUAUAUGGCUUAUAUGGUUCUCACAAGCCAUUUAUCUAAGAUUAGUUUUCUUAGCAUCCACCAGACAAUAAAGAGUAGUACCCUACCAAAGGUUUUCUCUAGAUCAGUGCUUUUCAAACAUUUUGCUGGCGCAGAACCCCAAGGAAACAUUCCACUGGCUCGAGGAACCCUUGUGCAAUAAUUUAAUUGUCUUAUGCACACAUAUCUGCACAGGAGAAUUAAAAAUUACUGCCGAUUUUAGCAGUUUUGUAACUUCUUGCGGAACCCCUGGACUGUACUGGGGGAACCCUAAGGUUCCGCGGAACCCUUGUUGAAAACCACUGCUCUAGAUAAAUACAUGCUAAGCAUAGUCGCUCACUACAAGAGCCAUCUGAGAGUAUUUCUCUAGUUGUCUCACUAGAAUGAGGUCCUCAAAGCCACCCUGUCCUGGCAUAAACUUAAACUGCAUCUUGACUAAGCCUUAUUUCCUUCUUGUUAACUCUUUCUCUUACUUUCUUAACAUACAAUGGGGCACUGAAAAGUUCCUGGCUUUGGGUAAAAGAAAAAAACAAGAAGAUCAGUUAAUUAUGAUCUUAUUCAACAUAUUCCCCACUCAGAUUCACACACUUAUUGCAGCAGUCCUUCAAUUUUUCUAAGCCCUGUAAAAGAACUCAGAAAGUUGGUCCUGCAGCCAGGCCUUUCAUGAUACUCUUAAAGCCAGGAACUUUUCAGCACCCCCUCAUAUAUUCCAUCAGUUUGUGAAUUCAGUAGUCAAUAUUUUUCUAGAAAACCAUUGCUCUUGUAACUGUCUAGGAUGAUAGUGUUAUAUUAGUCAUUGAGUAUGAUACUUCCCUGUACAACCUAAAACUUGUCGGUAAUUGUCAUACAUUCUACUUUGCUGGAAAUGUUCAGUAUCUCAGUGACUAUUCCUAGUGGUACAACUACCUUCUUUAAUAUUUAAUCACACUUCUUACCACAUAGUUCUCGACUUCAAUAAUAGGUUCCUGUUAGAUCUAAAUCAUGUAUUUCCCACCUUUCUCUCUUUCAUUCUCUCACAGAUUCUCCUCAUUCACCGAUGGCUUGUAGAAAUAUUUCUAUGCCAUAUUUUGUCUUAGUGUCUGUGAUGACAAGUGUAUUAUUAUGAAUCUGUACACACUCUUCAUCAAUGACGUCUUGAUUUAUGGUGACAUACUGUCUUGCAUUCUGGAAUAUUUCAAGUGUUUGUUAGGCAGACCAAAAUUAUAUCUAUUCAGCCAUUUCAUUUCUGCACCUAAUAUUUGUGUCUUUUACUUAACAAAUGAUUAAUUUUGAAAUUCCUUAUUUUAAUUUUACUAAAACUAGAAUAUAAUUUUUAUUUGAAUGUGCUAGCUUCAUUCCAAGGGUUUGAUUCAAUUACUUAAUAAAAUGACUUCAUAAAAAUUGAGAUUAGCUGAAGUGAGGACAGUUAUUUGUCCAAAAAAUAAUAGAAUUCUGUUUACUAAUAUAGGCACAAGUGUGGCUGUGUGGUAAGAAGCUUGCUUCUCAACCACAUGGUUCUACUAUAGCCUUGAGCCAAGCAGAGACUUGUGAGUGGAUUUUGUAGAGGGGAAAUUAAAAGAAACCAACUGUAUGUAUGUCAUCAUCAUCAUCAUCAUCAUCGUCAUCGUUUAACGUCCACUUUCCAUGCUAGCAUGGGUUGGACGAUUUGACUGAGGGCUGGUGAACCAGAUGGCUGCACCAGGCUUCAAUCUUGAUCUGGCAGAGUUUCUACAGCUGGAUGCCAUUCCUAACGCCAGCCACUCCGAGAGUGUAGUGGGUGCUUUUACGUGCCACCGGCACAGGGCCAGUCAGGCGGUACUGGCAACGACCUCACUCAAAUCUUUUGCAUAUGCCACCGGCACAGGUGCCAGUAAGGUGAUGCUGGUAACGAUCACACUCAAAUGGUGUCUUUUACAUGCCACCAGCACAGAAAUCAGAUAGCUGUUCUGGCAACGAUCAUGCUCGGAUGGUGCUCUUAGCACACUACUAGCAUGGGACUCGAGUGCCAGUAAGGUGACGCUGGUAAUGAUCACGCUCGAAUGGUGCCUUUUAUGUGCCAUUGGCACAGAAGCCGGUUAGCCACUCUAUCAACGAUCACACUCAUAUGGUGCUCUUUGCACCCUGCUAAGGAAAAGGUAUGCAUAAGUGGGCUGGUUACGCCCCUGGCAUAGGCCAUGAGCUUAUGGUCUCAUUUGGCUUGCCAGGUCUUUUCACGCAGAGUGUAUUUCCAAAAGUCUCGGUCACUAGUCAUUUCCUUGGUGAGGCCUAAAGUUCGAAGGUUGUGCUUCACCACUUCAUCCCAGGUCUUCCUGGGUCUACCUUUUCCACAGGUUCCCUCAACUGCUGGGGUGUGGCACUUUUUCACACAGCUAUCCUCGUCCAUUCUUGCCACAUGACCAUACCAGUGUAGUUGUCUCUCUUGCACCCCACAUCUGAUGCUUCUUAGGUCCAACAUUUCUCCCAAGGUACUUACACUCAGUCGAGUAUGAACACUGACAUUACACAUCCAUUGGAUCAUACUGGCUUCAUUCCUUGUGAGCUUACUCAUGUUCUCAGCAGUCACAGCCCAUGUUUCACUGCCAUGUAGCAUGGCUGUUCGUACACAUGCAUCAUACAGUCUGCCUUUUACUCUGAGCGAGAGGCCCUUUGUCACUAGCAGAGGUAACAGCUCUCUGAACUUUGCCCAGGUUAUUCUUAUUCUAGCAGCUACACUUUCAGCGCACCCUCCCCCGCUACUGACUUGGUCACCUAGGUAACGGAAGCUGUCAACUAAUUCUAGUUUUCCUUCCUGGAAUGUGGCAGAAGUUGUUCUCUGCGCAUUUUCAGAGUUUAUUGCUCCCGACUUCCUACGCAACCGCUGAGCCUGGAUGCACAUUCAUCCACCUGUCGAUGCUCUCAGUGUCGGAGAUUGACCUGCUUUCUCUUCUGCGGGUCUUACGAAUAGCAAAGGACCACAUUUCGGACUUCUCCCAUCUUGCGAGCUCUGGGAUGAAGACCGUUUGCUCAACAGCAACAGCAACAGCAGCAACAACAACAUAAUUUCAAGAUGUUUUAUUAACUUGCACCACUAAUUUCUAACUUUAUGUGUUAGAAAGGAGAGUGAAAGUUAGACUAACUUUCAUGGAUAUUGUUAUAAAGGAUGGAGAGUUGGCCGGCAGUCCAAUUUUCAAAAUUUUUCCUGAUAAGGAUAAUUUAAUCAAUUUUGUCAUAAAUCUAUUUACUGUUCGUGUUCAUUCAUUGAGUAUGAUAUUUCUAAUAUAUAAAGGUGGCAAGCUGGCAGUGUUGUUAGAAUGCGUUAUUAUAAGUUGUUAUAAGGUGGCGAGCUGGCAGAAACGUUAGCAUGCUGGACGAAAUGCUUUGCGGUAUUUCGUCUGUCGUUACGUUCUGAGUUCAAAUUCCGCCAAGGUCGACUUUGCCUUUCAUCCUUUUGGGGUCGAUAAAUUAAGUACCAGUUACUCACUGGGGUUGAUGUAAUUGACUUAAUCCAUUUGUCUGUCCUUGUUUGUCCCCUCUAUGUUUAGCCCCUUCUGGGCAAUAAAGAAAUAAGAGUUGUUAGAAUGCCAAGCAAAAUACUUAGCAAGUUUUCCUCAGCAUGCUAACAAUUCUGUCUGACUUUAUGCUCUGAGUUCAAAUUCCACCAAGGUCGACAUUGCUUUUCAUCUUUACAGGGUCAAUAAAAUAAAUACCAAUUGAGUACUGGGGUCAGUGUAAUUGACUUACCCACUUUCCCUAAGUUGCUGGCCUCGUGCAAAAAUUUGGAGUCAAUACAUAUAUUUAUUCUUUUACUUGUUUCAGCCAUUUGACUGUGGCCAUGCAGGAACCCUGCCUUUAGUCAAACAAAUCAACCCCAAUAUAUAUAGUGAGUUCAGCAUUUUGUUUCCCUGUUCUAAUCCUACUUUAAAAUAAGUAUUUGAUUUUUCUCCUUUCUCAAUUACUUUUUCUUUGAAAGACAAGGAUUCCUACAUUGGUAUAUGUUGUUGUUGUUGAUAUUUAGAGAUAGAUCAGUUCUAAUUAAACAAAUAAAAAAGAAUAUCUUGAUUUUGUUAAAACUUAUGCGUGUACAUAUAUGUGCAUAUGUCUAUGUAUUCGUGUGUGUGUGUGUAAGCAUUUGUGUGUGUGUGUCGGUGUGUGUGUGUGUGCGGCACACAUGCAUAUGCAUUUGCUAAGGAUGAAUUGAGCCAGCCACUGAACCCACAGCUUUGCAAACAAAAGCCAAACGUGCUUGGUACAUAAUGAUCUUCUGACAUGGUGCUCUUCAACCGGACACAAUUUCAAUGAAAAAUCUUUAUAUAUAAAAUUGAAGUUGUGUAUGUGAGACUCUGUCUCCUCCGAAUUAGAUUCCUAACUACUCCCACAUUUUGCGGUGCAGUUUAAACAAAACCGGGUAUCUUAUAGUCGUCAUUCAUAUUGAGCCCUUCUGGGUAUUAGCGCAUGUCUACGAUGAGUCUACGAUUUUAAAAGAAAUUUACCAUCAUUUUUCCGCAUUUUUAAUGAUUUUUGCUCGGGUUAUAUAAGGGAAGUAACUCUCUAAAAAUGCUUAUCUAGUUAUUUCCCUUACAAACCCAAGCAACGCCGGGCGAUACUGCUAGUACCAUAUAAAUGAUGACCAGAUAUCAAUUAAACCUUUAACAUUCAGGUUACUCAAUCAAAUAUAUUCCUUAUUUAUUUAUAUUGUUUUGAAUUAAUCAUGCAUUAUCAUAUAGCUUUGAGAUUUCAAUUAGGUGUUUGUUUAUUUUUAGAAUGAGAUUGUGGGAUAGGAGUGAGAGCCUGCUUCUAAUCAGUUUGAUUGUAGAACGGGCAGAAUACUUGGGUGUGAUAUGGUUGGUUAGAAUACUAAAGGGUCAUAUUAAUCCACAUUGUCAGCUUUUCACCUUGUUAUUUGCACCAUACUAGGAGGGGUUCUGGCACAAAUGCAUCAUGGAUGAUGGAGUGCAUGGUCAAAGCAACAGAGGUAAGCUUUGAGCAAGAAUUCUCAAUUAAUCCAGAUAACCAUCACUACCACCACCACCACCACCACCACCACCACCAUCAUCAUCAUCAUCAUCAUCCAGUGUUUUAAAUCCAGGUUUUGUCCCCGUAAAUGUGAGUGGCUGGAUCUACCUCAAUGCCAUAGCAACUGUCCUCAUACCAUCUCACCAUCCUGCCCAGUUUUUGGGUGUCCUCCUUUUUCAAACCAACUCUCCCAAUCUCCUCCUCCACCCUUUCCUUGGUCUACCUUGCUUUCAUGCUCCAUUUACCUCAAAUGCAAUCACCCUCCUCAGAACGUACUCUUCAUUCAUCCUCAACACAUGCCCAUACCACCUCACUCCAUUUGCCCUUGUCAACCAUUCCACCGAUUCCUCCAACCCUAGUAAUCCCAUCAAAUCCUCAGUCCUCCUCUUAUCAAACAGCAUUAAUAAUAACCUGUGUCUACAAUCAAUUUAUCCUUGGCUUCAAGUAUACCUUUGUUAUGCCUGUAUAUUCAGACAUAUUCCUUUAUCAUAAGAGAUAGUUUUACUCUUUCCAUCUCCCUAAUGAUCUGGGCAGCUUUACCAACAGCAUGCUGAGUUCUAGCGUUCUAAUUUCUUUGAGUUUCCUCUCAGCUUUCACUCAAGUAUUUCAUGUCUUGUUCUUUUUACCAGGUUAGGAACCACUGCCUUUCCAAGGUGUUGUGGAUUGUUCUAAGUGUUUGAAGUUUCUGUAAUCAGAAGUUUAAAAAAAAAUUUUUUUAGGGUUUUUUUAACAUGUAAAAGCACCCAUUACACUCUAGGAGUGAUUAGUGUUAGGAAAGGCAUCAAGCUGUAGAAAACCAUGCCAGAUCAGACUGGAGUCUGGUGCAGCCUUCCAGUGUGCCAGCCUGGUCAAACCAUCCAACCCAUGCCAGCAUGGACAACGGAUGUUAAAUGAUGAUGAUGAUGAUGAUGAUGAUGGUCUGGUAAUUAGCUCAAUGCCCUAACUUAAAGACCUGAAUGGGGGUUGGUUUUCUGCCAGGGUUUUCCUUUCCCUGCACGAUUACUCAUGGGCUCCAUCUACCUGGCAUUUGAAAUCAGAGUUUUCUUCUCCUGUGCGGUUUUAUGUCCACCAUGCCUCAUGUCCUGAGCGAACAUCCACAUUGCCAUGGCAUGGAGAUGCAACUCAGUCAAAGCACAGCAGUUGUUCUUCCUCUAUACUUACCAUUGGCAGUUUCCAUCCUAGCGCAGUACUUUGGCAAUGGUGAUGGUGGUGUGGUGGUGGUGGAGGAAGGGAGCUGGUGUCAAUGACUUUAUUGAUGUUUCUGUUAUUAUUUUAUUUUGUAUAAUCAUUUUUAUGUUAGUCUAGAUCGAGUGGAAAGAAAGGACAGUAUUUUUAUACUAAACAGAAUGAUGUCUAGAUCUUUAAUGUUUAAUGAAUUAAAGAAAGCAGAUCAUAAUCUAGAGUAAUUAUAUGGCUUCAAUAAAGUGUAUGGCAUUAACAGACAUAUUGUAUAAUUGUAGCAAAAGAACAAUUCAUAUGUGAAGAAGAACUUAGGUGUUUCCCUACUUAAGAGAAAUCAUUUGUUUAUACUAUACAGCUAUGCUUAUUAUGUAAAACUAGAAGUACUUGUUAUAUUUAGAUACUUUAGUUGAGAAACUCUUGUCUUUUUGUAAAACACAAAUAUUUUUUUUUAUAUCUGCAGACAAACACAAGUGUAAUUCCAUAGCUGUGAACUUUGGUUCCUAAUCUAGCCAUUCCAUGUUCUCUUUCAUUGUCUGUAUUUUGAACAAGAGAGUAUUUUACAAUAGUAAGUUCAAGCCUGAGGAACAGCCUUGAGUAUUUGGAAAAUGUGUGGAGAUACACUGGGUUUGGGUCCUUUUGGUGGUAGACCUAAUCCACUAAAUUGCUUUACACCACUGUUUGACUGAUGUAGUUUGUUAAUAUAGAGCCUAUCCCAUUUCAGAACAUUCAGAUAAGACCUUUGGUCUGUAAUAGCCUAAUACAAUGAUGCACUGCUUCCUAUUGCUACAACACAUGAUUCAUAUUUUCUUCUUCACUUACCCCACCACCACAACCACCACCAGUCUUGUAAACUCAGCAAAACUUCAUGGACACUGCAUUUCUUUUUUCUUCUCCUCCUCCUCAUUAACCCUCUAGCAUUUAUAUCAGCCAUAUCCUGCUAAAAUAUUCUGUUCAAACUGACCAGAUCCAGCUUCUCACACCUAUCCUACAAGGUUAUUCUAAAAAUAAACAGUCAUGUCAUUGAAAUCUUCAAGCUAAGAGAUAAUUCAUGAUUAAUUCAAAACAAUGUGAAUAAAUAAACAUUACAUUUGACAGAGUAAUCCGAAUGCUAAAGGGUUAAGCUGUCAAAGAAUCAAAUGCACUUGCUUUAUAUAUGAUGUAUAUGUGCAUGUUACAAGUGAAAAGCCAAAAUAAAGGUGAAAUGACAAAUCCAGGAAUGACAGAACAUGUGUGAUACCAAAAAUAGAAAUCCUAUAACUCCCUGAAGGUAAGAUUUCUUUCACAGGCAAUGAAAAAAUAAAACCAGAAGCGUAAUUAAGAUUAAUUAAUUUUAGUGUCAAGUUCAGUUGACAUGGCUUUCACUAAUUAAAAUUCAUUCAAUUAUUACUUAUGUUGAUUGAAUGAACAUUUAUCCAUGUCAUAGUGAAUAGGACCAUUGUAACUGACUGGAAAGAAAAGCCCAUGUAAAAAAUUCUUUUAAACUUUCUUGAAAUUUAUGGGGUUUAUGGAAUUAAAAGUUUGGAAAAUUUUCUAUGUACUGGUUUUCUAAUAUUCUUUGCUGUAGCUGUAUUAUUGAGGUUUGCAGCAAUCAUAGAAGUAGGGAAUUUAUAAAUUGUGUUGGUUACUUUUGCACAAAUCAUAUAAAUUGUGUUGGUUACUUUUGCACAAAUCAUAUUUUUUGUUGUAGUUGCUUUUUUUUAUAAUCUUUAGAGCAGAGAGGUCCAGUAGACUAACAGAAUGGUUAGAUCAUAGCAAUCAAUGCCUUGCCAUAUUCGUUCUGCCUCCUUAGCUUCUAAGUUCAAAACCUCCUGAUGGAGUGAUACAUAUGAUGGACUAUUUGAUUAAAUACCUUCUCCAAACUAUAGGACAAAUAUGAGAAGUUUAACAUAAAGAUACAUUUGAAUAUGCCCAUCCAACUUAAUUCAUUUUCAUUUACAAACACACUAUAAGCAUUUAUCUACCAAUAUACUGCAUCCUCUCUCAUUGGCUAACAAAUUUAUUUCUCACCCAUCACUACUUUGGAACCCAAUAUCAACUACCAAUCUAAUCUUUUAGAUUAAUUUCUUUAAUUAACAAAAGAGAAAAAUAUUAACCAAUACAAACGCAUAUAUCCCGUGAUGGAAUAACAAAACUUUCCUUUCUUGCAUAAAAAGACAGCCAAGUAAAAUAAAUAUAUACGAUGCAUUUGGAAUGGAUCUUCAAACAAUAGGAAAGCUAUCUAAGUGUUUUCACCAUUAGUAAUUGCCAAAUACAAAAUAUGAAAUACAAAACAGAGAAAAAGUUACAGAACGUACUUUUGCUGUUGUUUGUCCCCGGGAUGCAAUUCAUAUGGGUUAUGCUUUGAGCAAAAUCAAAUCAGAUUCUUUGAAAAGGAAGAAUUCAAGGAUGUGAGCGACAAUAGCAAUUUUACAAGCCUUGAGGACAGCUUGCUUUUAAAAUACUUCAUUCACAUUGAUAUUAUGUUUCAGCUUUGUUAAUUGUUAAAAACAAAUAGAUUAUAGCUUGCAGGCUUGAAUACUCACAGGCUGUCCUUUACAAUGUCGCCUUGAAUUCUGUAUUGUGGAAAGAUAUAACCAUAGCAGUAUUGCUUUCUUUUUACUUUUGUCUUGUUCAAACUGUGUGGGAUAAUGAUGUGGAAGACGACUAUUAUUAUAUUAUCAUUGUUAUUAUUAUUAUUAUUAUUAUUAUUAUUAUUAUUAUUAUUAUUAUUAUCAUUAUAUUAUUAUCAUCAUCAUUGUCAUCAUCAUCAUCAUCAUCAUCAUCAUCAUCAUCAUCAUCUUUAUUAUUAUUAUUUUAAUACUUUUCUUUUCAAGCAAGUUUCAUUUUGUUUUGAAAAUUGAACAAUAAAAAAUAACUUCAUUGAAAAUUUGCUCCUUUUAAAGAUUUGUUAUUGUUGGUUUAUUGUGUUCUUUUGUUUGCAAAACAUCAGCAAAGCUGCAAGUGGCUGGUCAAUUCCUUUGUUUUCACAUCCCAUGGAGUAGGGGUAAACUUAAAAAAUUUUUUUUUUCUCAAGAUUUUAUCUGAAAAAAUCCAAAAAAGCACAAACAGGACAUCAAUAUGUGUGUGGCCAGUAACAAAAGGUGGAAGUUGGAGAUGAUUCAGCUGCUAUCCAGAUCUUUCUCUUCAUUACAUAUGCUGAUGAAAGCUUCUCUUUUGCCAGUUGUCAAUGCAGCCAGCCCCAUCAACAAUACAAUGAGUUCUGUUGAGGAGGAAAAGGACAGCAGUAAAACAACAAUAACAAAAACAGCAGCAACAGCAACAUACCAAAUUGCAAGAAUAACAAUGAAAAAACAAAAACAAAAAACAAACAUGGAAAUAAGAAGAGCAACAAUACCAACAAUAACAACAGAGACAGUUGCAUGUCCAGCAACUAUGAGUACAUUAAUAAUAACAACAUGCUGAGCAGUAAAAAAAAACAGCAACAACAAUGAUAACAAUACCUGAAUUACCUUUCUUUAAUGACCAAUGAUUCAAGAAAGGUAACUGAGACAGUAGCAGAUGAUGUGACCACUGUGAUGUUGACCGGCAAUACCAUUCUGUCAAUAACUGCCACCACCACCAGUCACUACCACCAUCACCACCACCACCAACAAAAGCAACAACCACUGUCACCACCACCACCACCACCACCACCAAAAGUAACAGUUGUUCCAUAAUUACUGCAACCACUGCUGUCACAGCCAUAUUCACUGUGGCCACCAGAACGACAACAGGAACACAACAGCUACA
rnacentral:lncRNA from 1 species